AGUGAACGCUGGCGGUAGGCCUAACACAUGCAAGUCGAACGGCAGCACAGUAAGAGCUUGCUCUUACGGGUGGCGAGUGGCGGACGGGUGAGGAAUACAUCGGAAUCUACUUUUUCGUGGGGGAUAACGUAGGGAAACUUACGCUAAUACCGCAUACGACCUACGGGUGAAAGCAGGGGAUCUUCGGACCUUGCGCGAUUGAAUGAGCCGAUGUCGGAUUAGCUAGUUGGCGGGGUAAAGGCCCACCAAGGCGACGAUCCGUAGCUGGUCUGAGAGGAUGAUCAGCCACACUGGAACUGAGACACGGUCCAGAGUCCUACGGGAGGCAGCAGUGGGGAAUAUUGGACAAUGGGCGCAAGCCUGAUCCAGCCAUACCGCGUGGGUGAAGAAGGCCUUCGGGUUGUAAAGCCCUUUUGUUGGGAAAGAAAAGCAGCAGGUUAAUACCCCGCUGUUCUGACGGUGCCCAAAGAAUAAGCACCGGCUAACUUCGUG
rnacentral:rRNA from 1 species